rnacentral:rRNA from 1 species
UCUGGUUAUAAUAGCAGAGAGGAUACACCUGUUCCCAUUCCGAACACAGAAGUUAAGCUCUCUAGCGCUGAUGGUACUUGGUGGGAAACUGCCUGGGAGAGUA